GAUGAGCGCUGGCGGCGUGCCUAAUACAUGCAAGUCGAGCGAACGGACGAGAAGCUUGCUUCUCUGAUGUUAGCGGCGGACGGGUGAGUAACACGUGGAUAACCUACCUAUAAGACUGGGAUAACUUCGGGAAACCGGAGCUAAUACCGUAUAAUAUUUUGAACCGCAUGGUUCAAAAGUGAAAGACGGUCUUGCUGUCACUUAUAGAUGGAUCCUCGCUGCAUUAGCUAGUUGGUAAGGUAACGGCUUACCAAGGCAACGAUGCAUAGCCGACCUGAGAGGGUGAUCGGCCACACUGGAACUGAGACACGGUCCAGACUCCUACGGGAGGCAGCAGUAGGGAAUCUUCCGCAAUGGGCGAAAGCCUGACGGAGCAACGCCGCGUGAGUGAUGAAGGUCUUCGGAUCGUAAAACUCUGUUAUUAGGGAAGAACAUAUGUGUAAGUAACUGUGCACAUCUUGACGGUACCUAAUCAGAAAGCCACGGCUAACUACGUG
rnacentral:rRNA from 1 species